GAAGAAACAGAUAUUGAUGAACUGAAGUCAAAUACAGAUUCAAAUCCUGUUCAAGUCAAAGCAAAGCUGCCAGAUUUGACAAGGAAGAGAAAUAGAACUUCUAAAGCUUAUAUGAAAGGCAGAUCUUAUAAGAACACUGGACAGUCACACUACGAAUUUGAAUCUGAUGAUGAUGUACAUGAUCCAGACUUUAAGCCAAGUAAA